CAAAGAAUAGUUUAAUAAAAAUAGUAAUUUUGGAGAUUAUAGAUACAAAAAUUUUAUUUCUUUGA
rnacentral:tRNA from 1 species